rnacentral:rRNA from 1 species
UACAGAGGUCUCAAGCGUUGUUCGGAUUCAUUGGGCGUAAAGAGCGCGCAGGCGGUCGAUCAAGUCGAGUGUGAAAGCCCCCGGCUCAACUGGGGAGGGUCAUUCGAUACUGAUCGACUCGAAGGCAGGAGAGGGUAGUGGAAUUCCCGGUGUAGUGGUGAAAUGCGUAGAUAUCGGGAGGAACACCAGUGGCGAAGGCGACUACCUGGCCUGUUCUUGACGCUGAGGCGCGAAAGCUAGGGGAGCAAACGGG